GUGGCUGUAACCGAGUGGUUCAGGUGAAGCGCUGUGAACGCUUUGACACGGGUCCGAGUCCCGUCAGCCACC
rfam:Microgenomates bacterium GW2011_GWB1_40_9 TT25_C0017, whole genome shotgun sequence.